rnacentral:lncRNA from 1 species
AUGCUCCCUGCGGAUCCUGAAGCCGGUCAGAUAACAAGGUGCAGAGGUGUGGGGAAGACCUGGAGGGAGGCCUUACUGGGUGCCAACCAGCCUAACCAGCCGGGGCCACAGACCAGAAGUGCUUCUGAUGUUAACAUGACACGGAAGGGUGCCUCUGACAUCUGCACAGCACAUACAGCCAAGUUUAGGAGCCCACUGUUAAGAUGCCCAGGUGACAUUGACAAGUUUCACUGUGAGCCAAUGAGGUCUGCUGACCACAAUAGCAUCGCAGUACUGCUGAAGGAUUCUGGAAAAUGUGGUCCAGGUUGGCCGGUAUGCACUGACCUUCCCGUGAAGGUGACCUGAGCUCACCACACAAGUCUCCUCCCUGGUGUGCCCUUCUCCGAGCAGAUGCCAGGUUGGGACAGAAGCAGCUCAGGGAGAGGUGAUGCUUUGCCGGGACUCCUGGUUUGUAGGUAACACUGGCCCUGUGUCCCCUACAGUAGGAGGGUGUACCAGGACAAGGAACCCCAAGGCUGUUUUCAGAGAGAGCAAGAUUGGCUUUAUGCAAACUCCUGGAAUGGAGAUGGGGAGAGUCUUGUCACAUUUCCCCGGGAUUUUAGGGGAUGGAGGCUGGACCUGGGUGAACAGCAAAAGACCGCCUGGUGGUCGUGGUGGUGAGGAUGGGAGACUUGAGCCAGAAAUUCCUGAGAGUCUUUUUUGACAGAAUCUCGCUCUGUCACCCAGACUGGAGUGCAAUGGUGUGAUCUCGGCUCAUUGCAACCUCUGCCUCCGGGUUCAAGUGAUUCUCCUGCCUCAGCCUCCCAAGUGGCUGGGAUUACAGGUGCCUGCCACCAUGCCCAGCUAAUUUUUUUUUUUUUUGUAUUUUUAGUAGCAACGGUGUUUUGCCAUGUUGCCCAGCCUGGUCUUGAACACCCAACCUGAAGUGAUCCACCUGCCUUGGCCUCCCAUUGUGCUGGGAUUACAGGCAUGAGCCCCCAGGCCCACCCCAUUUUUAUCUUUUCUCUUACAGGUUUUUAUUUUAUCUUUUUCUUAUCUUACAGGUGCGGCUUGGAAGAAACUUCUGGAGGGUGGGGUGGUGUUGAAGAGGAGGCAACAUUGUAACCGUUUUGUUCAACAUGGGUGUUUUCUUUAUGCAUCAAUU